rnacentral:rRNA from 1 species
ACUAACAAAGGAUUCCCUAGUAACGGCGAGUGAAGUGGGAAAAGCUCAACUUUGAAAUCUGGCAGCUUCGCUGUCCGAGUUGUAGUCUCGAGAAGUGUUUCCGCGUUGAUGCAUGUAUGAGUCUGUUGGAACACAGCGUCAUAGAGGGUGACAACCCCGUUCAUGCCAUGCCUUUCAAUGCUCUGUGAUACACUUUCGAUGAGUCGAGUUGUUUGGGAAUGCAGCUCAAAGCGGGUGGUAAAUUCCAUCUAAAGCUAAAUAUUGGCGGGAGACCGAUAGCAAACAAGUACCGUGAGGGAAAGAUGAAAAGCACUUUGGAAAGAGAGUUAAAAGUACGUGAAAUUGUCGAAAGGGAAACGCUUGAAGUCGGACGUGCAGGCAACUGCAGGCCAACAUCGGUUUCAGUAGUCGGAUAAAGGCAGAGAAAGGUAGCAGCUCCGGCUGUGUUAUAGUCUCUAGCUCAAUACGGAUACAGAGACCGAGGACCGCAGCGAAAGCUUAGGAUGUUGGUGGAACGGCUUUAAACGACCCGUCUUGAAACACGGACCAAGGAGUCUAACAUGCUUGCGAGUGUUUGGGUGUCAAACCCAUGCGCGUAAUGAAAGUGAAUGGAGGUGGGAUCCGCAAGGAGCACCAUCGACCGGUCCGGACGUUUACCGAAGGAUCUGAGUAAGAGCACGUAUGUUGGGACCCGAAAGAUGGUGAACUAUGCCUGAAUAGGGUGAAGCCAGAGGAAACUCUGGUGGAGGCUCGUAGCGGUUCUGACGUGCAAAUCGAUCGUCAAAUUUGGGGUAUAGGGGGCGAAAAGACUAAUCGAACCAUC